GUCACCAUAUGAGGAAGUCCAUCUAUCCUACUGGUGAACCCAGCUGGAGAGAUCAAUGCCUCACAGCACACAGCUCAUCCCACCAUCCCGGAAGAGGGACCUAGCAUGUGAGUGAAAAAGCCAUCUUGGGUGAUCCAGACCGAGGAGACAACCCAUGGAACAGAGUAACUGUCCAGGCUUAUUCACGAGAGUCAAGACAUGGGAAUGAACUAAGUGUCCAUUGACGGAUGCAUGGAUAACGAAAAUGUGGGCUCUACAGACCUCGGAAUGGUAUUCGGCCAUAAAAAAGAAGGAAAUCCUGCCAUCUGCAUCAACACGGAGGAAACUUCGAGGCAUGACACCAAGUGAGGUAAAUCCCUGAGAAGCUUUAUUCAUCACCGUGUUGGCCCUUCCUCUGGCAUCGUCUGAAACACCUGGAAAAUGCUUUAAAAAUAGAAACAUCUAAAACUCAACCCAUCUUUGAGAUUCUGAUGCAGCUGAUAGAGCCCAGAAAUUCACGUGAGAGAAAUUCACCAUUAUUCUGAUGACACCCAAGUAUGCAGACCACUAACCAGAAAGGACACUUUCCUCUGGUAGCUUAUUGGCAUAUGAAAGCAUCCUUAGAUGGCUCUUAGAAAUUAAAAAUAACUUAGAAAACAUGUAGCCUGACCUAUUUACAGAAAUUCUCUAUAUUCUAUAAUUCUGACUUUUAGGUGAAGUGGCCUGAACUUAGCCCCCAAAUAAUUCCAGUUAAUCAGCUUUCACUCUGUGUUUUAACUUGCAUUUAAGGAGCUCAGGGUGAGUCAACCCUCUCAAGUUCUAGGCACCGAAGCCUAAGCCAAGGGUUGGCAAACAAUGGUCACUUCGUACUCCCACCUGUUUUUGUAAACAAAGCUUUAUUGGAAUUUAGGCUCAUUUGUUUACAUAUUGUCUAUGGAUGCCCUCACACCAAGAGUGCAGAGUUGAGUAGUUCAAACAAAGAUCAUGUGGCCUGCAGACCCCAAAAUAUUUACAUCUGGUCCUUUAUGAAAAAAGUUUGCUGAUU